rnacentral:misc_RNA from 1 species
GAUGAAGAACGCAGCGAAACGCGAUAUGUAAUGUGAAUUGCAGAAUUCAGUGAAUCAUCGAAUCUUUGAACGCACAUUGCGCCCCCUGGUAUUCCGGGGGGCAUGCCUGUUCGAGCGUCAUUUCACCACUCAAGCCUCGCUUGGUAUUGGGCAACGCGGUCCGCCGCGUGCCUCAAAUCGACCGGCUGGGUCUUCUGUCCCCUAAGCGUUGUGGAAACUUUCGCUAAAGGGUGUUCGGGAGGCUACGCCGUAAAACAACCCCAUUUCUAAGGUUGACCUCGGAUCAGGUAGGGAUACCCGCUGAACUUAAGCAUAUCAAUAAGCGGAGGA